rnacentral:tRNA from 1 species
AUUACUUUGGCAGAUAAAAAAAAAUGCAAUAAAAUUAGAAUUUAUUUAAGUAAAUUUAUUAUUACAAGUAAUA